rnacentral:rRNA from 1 species
AGAGUUUGAUCAUGGCUCAGGAUGAACGCUGGCGGCGUGCUUAACACAUGCAAGUCGAGCGAGAAUUAAGAGUUGGAGACUUCGGUCAAAGACUUUUAAGGAAAGCGGCGGACGGGUGAGUAACGCGUGGGUAACCUGCCUUAUACAGGGGGAUAACAUAUUGAAAAGUAUGCUAAUACCGCAUAAGCGCACGGCAUCGCAUGAUGCAGUGUGAAAAACUCAGGUGGUAUAAGAUGGACCCGCGUCUGAUUAGCUAGUAGGUGAGGUAAUGGCUCACCUAGGCGACGAUCAGUAGCCGGCCUGAGAGGGCGAACGGCCACAUUGGGACUGAGACACGGCCCAAACUCCUACGGGAGGCAGCAGUGGGGAAUAUUGCACAAUGGGGGAAACCCUGAUGCAGCGACGCCGCGUGAAGGAUGAAGGUUUUCGGAUCGUAAACUUCUAUCAGCAGGGACGAUAAUGACGGUACCUGACUAAGAAGCCCCGGCUAACUACGUGCCAGCAGCCGCGGUAAUACGUAGGGGGCAAGCGUUAUCCGGAAUUACUGGGUGUAAAGGGUGCGUAGGCGGUAAUGUAAGUCAGGUGUGAAAGCCCGAAGCUCAACUUCGGGAUUGCACUUGAAACUACAUAACUAGAGUACAGGAGAGGUGAGUGGAAUUCCUAGUGUAGCGGUGAAAUGCGUAGAUAUUAGGAGGAACACCAGUGGCGAAGGCGACUCACUGGACUGUAACUGACGCUGAGGCACGAAAGCGUGGGGAGCGAACAGGAUUAGAUACCCUGGUA